UUGUCUGCAACAAAAUUCCCAACCCAAUUCUCACAAUAAUCAUAUCCUUCAUCUUCAUCAACUCAUCAUAGCGUCAAAUCAAAGCAAUCAAUUACACAUUCCACACAACAAAACUCACAAUUAACAACGAACCCUAACGGAUCGUCAAUCGACCACGAUGUCGACCAAUCUAUAUUUUACAAGUUAAAGUUAAGUUGAUGGAUGAAGAAUCGUCAAUCACCUGAUUGCUAUAAGUUUCCCCAAGAAGAUCUUUUUCAUGCUAUUCAUUAGACAGAGCUGAUACUACAAUCUGUUUAUCUAGCUAAUUAUGGAGAUUAAGAUUUUGUUCUUAGUGUUACUCUCACUUUCAUUGUUCCUCAAUGUCACCAGGUGCUAUCUUCUCAUGAUUUAGGUAUCAUGUAAUUAUGUAUAAAUAUCUCUCUGGUCAGCUCACACAAACACACAUUUCACGGUGUUCAUUUAGAUACAAUUAUACAAAGCUUCAAGCUUGCAUCUUUAGGUUGUUUAACCAUAUGGAUUUAUGGUCUUAAUGAUCAUUUUUGCAUAUUCUGGGUUGAAAAGAGUGGUUGUGGGAGACGGAUCGGGUCAGAUCUGCUGGUUGUUGUUGAAGUCGAGUUAAAUCGCCGGAAAGUCAUGUGGCGGCGGUUCUGGGUCAGGGCGAUUGCUGGAUGUGGCGAGGGUAGGUUAGUGAGGGUGGGUGGUAGAAAGAGGUGGUACAAUGCGGUGCUUGUGGGUGACAGAUGGUAGUGGCAGGUGGUGUUUUUAGAGAGAGAAUGAU
rnacentral:lncRNA from 1 species